rnacentral:rRNA from 1 species
CCUACGGGGCGCAGCAGUGGGGAAUAUCGCACAAUGGGGGAAACCCUGAUGCAGCGACGCCGCGUGAGUGAAGAAGUAAUUCGUUAUGUAAAGCUCUAUCAGCAGGGAAGAAACAGACGGUACCUGAGUAAGAAGCCCCGGCUAACUACGUGCCAGCAGCCGCGGUAAUACGUAGGGGGCAAGCGUUAUCCGGAUUUACUGGGUGUAAAGGGGGCGCAGACGGCAAUGCAAGCCAGGAGUGAAAGCUCGGGGCCCAACCCCGGGACUGCUCUUGGAACUGCAUGGCUGGAGUACAGGAGGGGCAG